rnacentral:rRNA from 1 species
UCCUGGGGCUGAAGUAGGUCCCAAGGGUUGGGCUGUUCGCCCAUUAAAGCGGUACGCGAGCUGGGUUCAGAACGUCGUGAGACAGUUCGGUCCCUAUCUGUCGUGGGCGUAGGAAAUUUGAGAGGAGCUGUCCUUAGUACGAGAGGACCGGGAUGGACGUACCGCUGGUGCACCAGUUGUUCCGCCAGGAGCACGGCUGGGUAGCUAAGUACGGAAGGGAUAAGCGCUGAAAGCAUCUAAGCGUGAAGCCCCCCUCAAGAUGAGAUUUCCCAGUAUGUAAGACCCCUUGAAGACGACGAGGUAGAUAGGUUGGAGGUGGAAGUGCAGCAAUGCAUGGAGCUGACCAAUACUAAUCGGUCGAGGGCUUAUCCUAAA